rnacentral:rRNA from 1 species
UAGGGAAUAUUGGACAAUGGGCGAAAGCCUGAUCCAGCCAUGCCGCGUGAGUGACGAAGGCCUUCGGGUCGUAAAACUCUUUUCUGAGGGAAGAACAACCGAGGCAGGAAAUGGCCCCGGCUUGACGGUACCUCAGGAAUAAGCAACGGCUAACUCCGUGCCAGCAGCCGCGGUAAUACGGAGGUUGCAAGCGUUGUUCGGAAUAACUGGGCGUAAAGGGAGCGCAGGCGGUUUGGUAAGUUCAAAGUGAAAGCCCGGGGCUUAACCUCGGAAGUGCUUUGGAUACUGCCUUACUCGAGUUCGUGAGAGGAAAGCGGAAUUCCAGGUGUAGCGGUGAAAUGCGUAGAUAUCUGGAGGAACACCGGUGGCGAAGGCGGCUUUCUGGCGCGAUACUGACGCUGAGGCUCGAAAGCAUGGGGAGCGAACAGG